rnacentral:rRNA from 1 species
GACGAACGCUGGCGGCGUGCUUAACACAUGCAAGUCGAACGGAAAGGCCCUGCUUUUGUGGGGUGCUCGAGUGGCGAACGGGUGAGUAACACGUGAGUAACCUGCCCUUGACUUUGGGAUAACUUCAGGAAACUGGGGCUAAUACCGGAUAGGAGCUCCUGCUGCAUGGUGGGGGUUGGAAAGUUUCGGCGGUUGGGGAUGGACUCGCGGCUUAUCAGCUUGUUGGUGGGGUAGUGGCUUACCAAGGCUUUGACGGGUAGCCGGCCUGCGAGGGUGACCGGCCACAUUGGGCCUGAGAUACGGCCCAGACUCCUACGGGAGGCAGCAGUGGGGAAUAUUGCACAAUGGGCGGAAGCAUGAUGCAGCAACGCCGCGUGCGGGAUGACGGCCUUCGGGUUGUAAACCGCUUUCGCCUGUGACGAAGCGUGAGUGACGGUAAUGGGUAAAGAAGCACCGGCUAACUACGUG